rnacentral:piRNA from 1 species
UGGGAUUCACAAUGGCAGCUGCCAUCACUGG